GAGUUUGAUCCUGGCUCAGGACGAACGCUGGCGGCGUGCCUAAUACAUGCAAGUCGAGCGAGCUUGCCUAGAUGAUUUUAGUGCUUGCACUAAAUGAAACUAGAUACAAGCGAGCGGCGGACGGGUGAGUAACACGUGGGUAACCUGCCCAAGAGACUGGGAUAACACCUGGAAACAGAUGCUAAUACCGGAUAACAACACUAGACGCAUGUCUAGAGUUUGAAAGAUGGUUCUGCUAUCACUCUUGGAUGGACCUGCGGUGCAUUAGCUAGUUGGUAAGGUAACGGCUUACCAAGGCAAUGAUGCAUAGCCGAGUUGAGAGACUGAUCGGCCACAUUGGGACUGAGACACGGCCCAAACUCCUACGGGAGGCAGCAGUAGGGAAUCUUCCACAAUGGACGAAAGUCUGAUGGAGCAACGCCGCGUGAGUGAAGAAGGGUUUCGGCUCGUAAAGCUCUGUUGGUAGUGAAGAAAGAUAGAGGUAGUAACUGGCCUUUAUUUGACGGUAAUUACUUAGAAAGUCACGGCUAACUACGUGCCAGCAGCCGCGGUAAUACGUAGGUGGCAAGCGUUGUCCGGAUUUAUUGGGCGUAAAGCGAGUGCAGGCGGUUCAAUAAGUC
rnacentral:rRNA from 1 species